rnacentral:rRNA from 1 species
UAGCCUAACGGCUGAACCAGCAACUUGGAGGAAUGUAUAGCGAAAGCUGGUUGCAUUACUAAUUAAUGUAACAAUGACUAUGUCAUAUAAAAUUCUAGGUAUAAUUAUGAUAAUGACAUUGUAUGCCUAUAUGUCUUGACCAAUUCACGUGCCAGCAGUCGCGGCAACACGUGUAAGACUAGUGUUAUUCAUCUUUAGCAGGUUUAAAGGGUACCUAGACAGUAAAUCAAGCCUACAAAAGGGACUAAUUUAACUAGAGUUUGACAGGAGAGGGGAGAGUACGGAUAGUGUAGUGAUGAAAUACUGUGAUACUAUAUGGGACAGGCAACGGCGAAAGCAACCUUUUAUGAAAAACUGACGUUGAGGGACGAAGGCUAAGGACACCAACAGGAUUAGAUACCCCAGCAGUCUCAGCAGACAAUGAUGAAUGUCAUAUAUAAGUUGAUAGGAAUCUGUAGAGAGUAUUACUUCGGGAGAAUAAUAUUUACGCUAAUAAAUUAGUCCUGCAGAUGGUAUUCUAAAUAAAGAAUACUCUUUAGAAAAUUUGUGUAUAAAUGAAAGUGUAAGCAUUCCACCUCAAGAGUAAUGUGGCAACGCAGAAACUGAAAUCAUUAGACCGUUUCUGAAACCAGUAGUGAAGUAUGUUAUUUAAUUUGAUGAUCCGCAAAGAACCUCACCACAAUUUGAAUAUUUAUAUACAUUGUAUAUUUUUACAAGCGUUGCACGGCUGUCUUCAGUUAAUGUCGUGAGAUUUUGGUUAGUUCCAUUAAAUUAACGUAAACCCUUACUUUAUUUUUAACAUAAAGUAGUUCACCGCUAGAUUGGUAAUGAUAUAAGGGACCAAGACA